rnacentral:rRNA from 1 species
CCUACGGGAGGCAGCAGUGGGGAAUAUUGCACAAUGGGGGAAACCCUGAUGCAGCGACGCCGCGUGAGUGAAGAAGUAUUUCGGUACGUAAAGCUCUAUCAGCAGGGAAGAAAAUGACGGUACCUGACUAAGAAGCCCCGGCUAACUACGUGCCAGCAGCCGCGGUAAUACGUAGGGGGCAAGCGUUAUCCGGAUUUACUGGGUGGAAAGGGAGCGUAGACGGCAGCGCAAGUCUGGAGUGAAAUCCCGGGGCCCAACCCCGGGACUGCUCUUGGAACUGCAUGGCUGGAGUACAGGAGGGGCAGGCGGAAUUCCUAGUGUAGCGGUGAAAUGCGUAGAUAUUAGGAGGAACACCGGUGGCGAAGGCGGCCUGCUGGACUGUGACUGACGUUGAGGCCCGAAGGCGUGGGGAGCAAACAGGAUUAGAUACCCCUGUAGUC